rnacentral:rRNA from 1 species
GAUGAACGCUGGCGGCGUGCCUAAUACAUGCAAGUCGAGCGAACGGACGAGAAGCUUGCUUCUCUGAUGUUAGCGGCGGACGGGUGAGUAACACGUGGAUAACCUACCUAUAAGACUGGGAUAACUUCGGGAAACCGGAGCUAAUACCGGAUAAUAUUUUGAACCGCAUGGUUCAAAAGUGAAAGACGGUCUUGCUGUCACUUAUAGAUGGAUCCGCGCUGCAUUAGCUAGUUGGUAAGGUAACGGCUUACCAAGGCAACGAUGCAUAGCCGACCUGAGAGGGUGAUCGGCCACACUGGAACUGAGACACGGUCCAGACUCCUACGGGAGGCAGCAGUAGGGAAUCUUCCGCAAUGGGCGAAAGCCUGACGGAGCAACGCCGCGUGAGUGAUGAAGGUCUUCGGAUCGUAAAACUCUGUUAUUAGGGAAGAACAUAUGUGUAAGUAACUGUGCACAUCUUGACGGUACCUAAUCAGAAAGCCACGGCUAACUACGUGCCAGCAGCCGCGGUAAUACCUAAGUGGCAAGCGUUAUCCGGAAAUAUUGGGCGUAAAGCGCGCGUAGGCGGUUUUUUAGUCUGAUGUGAAAGCCCACGGCUCAACCGGGGAGGGUCAUUGGAAACUGGAAAACUUGAGUGCAGAAGAGGAAAGUGGAAUUCCAUGUGUAGCGGUGAAAUGCGCAGAGAUAUGGAGGAACACCAGUGGCGAAGGCGACUUUCUGGUCUGUAACUGACGCUGAUGUGCGAAAGCGUGGGGAUCAAACAGGAUUAGAUACCCUGGUAGUCCACGCCGUAAACGAUGAGUGCUAAGUGUUAGGGGGUUUCCGCCCCUUAGUGCUGCAGCUAACGCAUUAAGCACUCCGCCUGGGGAGUACGACCGCAAGGUUGAAACUCAAAGGAAUUGACGGGGACCCGCACAAGCGGUGGAGCAUGUGGUUUAAUUCGAAGCAACGCGAAGAACCUUACCAAAUCUUGACAUCCUUUGACAACUCUAGAGAUAGAGCUUUCCCCUUCGGGGGACAAAGUGACAGGUGGUGCAUGGUUGUCGUCAGCUCGUGUCGUGAGAUGUUGGGUUAAGUCCCGCAACGAGCGCAACCCUUAAGCUUAGUUGCCAUCAUUAAGUUGGGCACUCUAAGUUGACUGCCGGUGACAAACCGGAGGAAGGUGGGGAUGACGUCAAAUCAUCAUGCCCCUUAUGAUUUGGGCUACACACGUGCUACAAUGGACAAUACAAAGGGCAGCGAAACCGUGAGGUCAAGCAAAUCCCAUAAAGUUGUUCUCAGUUCGGAUUGUAGUCUGCAACUCGACUACAUGAAGCUGGAAUCGCUAGUAAUCGUAGAUCAGCAUGCUACGGUGAAUACGUUCCCGGGUCU